UGGGGAAUAUUGCACAAUGGGCGCAAGCCUGAUGCAGCCAUGCCGCGUGUAUGAAGAAGGCCUUCGGGUUGUAAAGUACUUUCAGCGGGGAGGAAGGGAGUAAAGUUAAUACCUUUGCUCAUUGACGUUACCCGCAGAAGAAGCACCGGCUAACCCCGUGCCAGCAGCCGCGGUAAUACGGAGGGUGCAAGCGUUAAUCGGAAUUACUGGGCGUAAAGCGCACGCAGGCGGUUUGUUAAGUCAGAUGUGAAAUCCCCGGGCUCAACCUGGGAGCUGCAUCUGAUACUGGCAAGCUUGAGUCUCGUAGAGGGGGGUAGAAUUCCAGGUGUAGCGGUGAAAUGCGUAGAGAUCUGGGGAAUACCGGUGGCGAAGGCGGCCCCCUGGACGAAGACUGACGCUCAGGUGCGAAAGCGUGGGGAGCAAACAGG
rnacentral:rRNA from 1 species